AUUGAACGCUGGCGGCAGGCUUAACACAUGCAAGUCGAGCGGAGAUGAGGUGCUUGCACCUUAUCUUAGCGGCGGACGGGUGAGUAAUGCUUAGGAAUCUGCCUAUUAGUGGGGGACAACAUUCCGAAAGGAAUGCUAAUACCGCAUACGUCCUACGGGAGAAAGCAGGGGAUCUUCGGACCUCGCGCUAAUAGAUGAGCCUAAGUCGGAUUAGCUAGUUGGUGGGGUACAGGCCUACCAAGGCGACGAUCUGUAGCGGGUCUGAGAGGAUGAUCCGCCACACUGGGACUGAGACACGGCCCAGACUCCUACGGGAGGCAGCAGUGGGGAAUAUUGGACAAUGGGGGGAACCCUGAUCCAGCCAUGCCGCGUGUGUGAAGAAGGCCUUAUGGUUGUAAAGCACUUUAAGCGAGGAGGAGGCUACUGAGACUAAUACUCUUGGAUAGUGGACGUUACUCGCAGAAUAAGCACCGGCUAACUCUGUGCCAGCCGCCGCCGUAAAAC
rnacentral:rRNA from 1 species